rnacentral:lncRNA from 1 species
GGUGGGUUUAAAUGUGAAAAAGUAUCUGUGGGAUUUGAAGUUGUUUUUUCAUUAUGUUCUUGUUGAUUUCUAUAAGCAGGAAGUCGUCCCAUUGUCUACAAUGAUGUCAUAUUGCAGAAUCUACCUUUAAAGGUACCGUACUCAAGUUUCCCUUCAACUGAAUCUUCCACCUUGUGAUGAAUGAGACACUCCAGUUCAACUCCAUUGAGAUUGCCAAUACAUUUAGCACAUCUAGUAUUCCGAGGUGUAAGCAUACACACUCCCAAUGUUCAAUGAAAUGACUGUGAACAGCAGAGAUAAAAGCCCAUCAUUUUCCUUCAGUAAAAAUGUUUUUUUAAUGAUCAUGCAGCUGGAUAGUUGAGCACUGUUUCUGUGCUUCCUAACAGACUGAGAGGUCUGGAUGAUGAUAACAGACUGAGAGGUCUGGAUGAUGAUAACAGACUGAGAGGUCUGGAUGAUGAUAACAGACUGAGAGGCCUGGAUGAUGAUAACAGACUGAGAGGUCUGGAUGAUGAUAACAGACUGAGAGGUCUGGAUGAUGAUAACAGACUGAGAGGCCUGGAUGAUGAUAACAGACUGAGAGGUCUGGAUGAUGAUAACAGACUGAGAGGUCUGGAUGAUGAUAACAGACUGAGAGGUCUGGAUGAUGAUAAUAGACAGAGGUCUGGAUGAUGAUAACAGACUGAGAGGUCUGGAUGAUGAUAACAGAGUGAGAGGUCUGGAUGAUGAUAACAGACUGAGAGGUCUGGAUGAUGAUAACAGACUGAGAGGUCUGGAUGAUGAUAACAGACUGAGAGGUCUGGAUGAUGAUAACAGACUGAGAGGUCUGGAUGAUGAUAACAGACAGAGGUCUGGAUGAUGAUAAUAGACUGAGAGGUCUGGAUGAUGAUAAUAGACUGAGAGGUCUGGAUGAUGAUAACAGACUGAGAGGUCUGGAUGAUGAUAACAGACUACAUAAUUCAUUUGGCAUAUGGUAAGCCCCACAGUUUGGGGGGUGUUUGGGGGGGAUAAGAUUUUACCCUCAGUUUCCCCCUCAGCAGAUGGAUGCAGCUCCGACGUACAGAUGGAUGCAGCUCCGCUGUGCAGAUGGAUGCAGCUCCACCGUGC